rnacentral:rRNA from 1 species
GACGCAAGUCCGAGUUGUAAUUUGAAGAAGGUAAUUUUUGGGGAGAUGUGAACAAAAGUUCCUUGGAACAGGACGUCAUAGAGGGUGAGAAUCCCGUUUUGUUUACCUCUCUCUCCUUGUAAAAUGCUUUCGAAGAGUCGAGUUGUUUGGGAAUGCAGCUCUAAGUGGGUGGUAAAUUCCAUCUAAAGCUAAAUAUUGGCGAGAGACCGAUAGCGAACAAGUACAGUGAUGGAAAGAUGAAAAGAACUUUGAAAAGAGAGUGAAAAAGUACGUGAAAUUGUUGAAAGGGAAGGGUUUUAAGGGAGACUUGGGAGGUAACGAACAAUUUUCUUUCGGGAAGGUGCACUCGUUGCUUUCUAGGCCAAUAUGGAUUUGAAGAGUG